rnacentral:ncRNA from 1 species
AAGGCCUGAUGUGUGUGAGAUUACCCGCUGAAUUUAAGCAUAUAAGUAAGCGGAGGAAAAGAAACUAACUAGGAUUCCCUUAGUAAUGGCGAAUGAACAGGGAUCAGCUCAGUGCCAAAUCGGAAUCACUUGUGGUUCUGAAAUGUGGCUUGAAGGCAGUACCAGUGGCAUCGCGGACGAAAGUCUCUUGGAAAAGAGCGUCAUAGAGGGUGA